rnacentral:rRNA from 1 species
UACGUAGGGUGCAAGCGUUGUCCGGAAUUAUUGGGCGUAAAGAGCUCGUAGGCGGUCUGUCGCGUCUGCUGUGAAAACUCGGGCUUAACCCCGGGCCUGCAGUGGGUACGGGCAGACUAGAGUGCGGUAGGGGAGACUGGAAUUCCUGGUGUAGACGGUGAAAUGCGCAGAUAUCAGGAGGAACACCGAUGGCGAAGGCAGGUCUCUGGGCUG